AUGACCCAUAGACAGUUCGGAGCCUUUGGACCGGAAAUUGAGCACACAACAUACAUCAGUUUUCACAGGGAGUCCUGCAAGGUCACGCUCUACGCACCUUGCACGUCUCAGCGCCGCCACAUCCCAGCGCCUUCCACGCAAAGCUUCUUCUCCCUGCAAAGCUCCGCCGCCAACACAUAUUUAGGCAUAUGGUACCACAACAUCUCGGAGCGAACAUACGUGUGGGUGGCCAACCGCGACAACCCGAUCACGAGCAGCUUGCCCGGGAAGCUGGUCGCGAGCAACACCUCUGACCUCGUCUUGUCCGACUCCGACGACCGUGUCCUCUGGGCGACGAAGACGAACAACGUCACCACCGCGGGAUCAGGUGGCAGAGGUGCGGUGGCGGUGCUGCUCGACACCGGAAACUUUGUUCUCCGGUCGCGGAACGGCAUGAAGAUAUGGCAGAGCUACGAUCAGCCAACUGACACCUUUCUUCCGGGAUUCAAGCUGUGGGUGAACUACAAGACCCACGUAGCAGCGCGCAUCGUUGCGUGGAAGGGCCCUGACGACCCGUCCACCGGCGAGUUCGUCUUGAGCGGCGACACCAGCACGGGCCUCCAGAUCCUGACCUGGUGA
rnacentral:rRNA from 1 species